CCAGUCUCGCUUCUAACUUCUUCUCCGGCAAGGGAUUAGCUUCGUCAUAUCGGUCUCUAUUUUUGCUGCAGAUAUGGACAAUAAGGAUGAAAAUAAAAUGAUGCCUCAUAAAACCGGUUCUUCAUGGACGGAUGAGAAACAAAAUGGUAUGAGUAGUUUAAAUAGACGUAGUGUUAAAUGCUGGAAAAAAUUCACACUAUGAGAGAAAUAUUAUGAAGGCAGAACUCAUGUCGCCUGCAAUUAUUUUAAAAAGUAGGCCUAGGCAUAAAAUCCAAAACACGAACCCGAACCCGACCCAAAAAAACCGUACCGGAUCGGUUUUGUAUCAAUGAAAAAACCCGUUUGGGUUGAAAUUUCUGAUACAUUGGACUAUGGGUUCGGUUCGGUUUAAACUGGAAUCCGAGGUAUAACCCGAAAUAACCAGAACUUAUAUAAUAUACAAUAUGUAUGUAUAGAUACGGCACGCGUGUUUCGAUUUCCAAAACUUUGUGUUUGGAAUCAGAAUUAUAAUGCAAAAGGAGAAACGGCUGAAGAGGAAGCGAUUCAUCUUCUUCCUAGUUUCGAAAUCUCUACCCUAAAAUCCUAUUUAAUCGAAGAGUAGCAGAGCCAGUCAUGUUUCAUACCCAUAAUCUCGACCUCACGCUCUCUCCACCAUCUGCUAUUUCGAGGAUUCAAUCCCAGAUGGAUUCAUCUUCAACACCAAACGUUGUCUCUGACAAUAACAAUGACUUCGAACGCGAUGAAGAACAAGAGUUUCUGACUCCGGACAGUAGAGGCAAGAGUAAACAGGUGACUCCAGACAGUAGAGGCAAGCGUAAAGAAUCACCUGAAGCUAGUGGAGCAACGUUCCAGACACAAUAAGCGCCUAGGUAUCUUCCUCCAAGGUCUUAAGAUUUGGGGACAUUUCACAAGAACAACAGAGAAUCGUGACAGAUGUAUAUGUCACUACUGCAACAAGACGUUCUGCUGUGCUACACGAUCGGGCACAUCCAACUUGAUGAAGCAUCUUAGCAUAUGCAAACGCUUCAUGUUUUUUUCAGAGGGUCAAAGCUCUACUCAGCCUGGCGUCAAUGAAGAAGGACAGCUGAAGUCUAGAAAGAUAAGUGAGUCUACUUUCAGAGAAGCGACAAAUGAGAUGAUGGUGAUAGCAGAGCUACCAUUGAGUUUCAUCGAAGGUGUUGGUUGGAAACACUUCUGCGACAAGAUGGAACUAGGCAAACCAGUUUCAAGAAGGACAUCAACAAGAGACAUUGUUAAGAUGUAUCUACAGAGGAAAGAUGUUAUGAAAAAGUGGUUUAAAGCAAAUAAGCAAAUGGUUUCACUAACAACUGACAUUUGGGUGGCUCAAGUAACUCGUGCUAGCUACAUGGUUGUGACUGCCCAUUACAUUGAUCCGUAUUGGCGAUUGAAAAAGCUUAUCAUUGGGUUCAAACACGUCACUGAUCACAAAGGAGCAACAAUUUCGAAGGUUUUGUUAGAUUGCUUAGCUGACUGGGGGAUACAGAAGGUAUACUGUGUGACAGUCGAAAAUGCAACGGCCAAUUCGUCUGCACUGCGAAAAUUUCAGAGUGAAUUCUCACUGGUGUCUGAAGAAGCAUUGGUUUUAGAUGGUGAGAUGAUGCAUUUGAGAUGUAGCGCACAUAUCAUCAACCUCAUCGUGAAGGACGGAAUGGCUGACGCAUAUGAGAGUGUCAAUGCUGUCCGUAAUGUUGUGGUCUACGUUCGAGCUUCAGGUAACAGGCUGUCAUCAUUUGAUCAGAAAGUAGACGCUGGUAAACUGACUAGGGGAAGCUUGCCGUUGGAUGUGAGUACUAGGUGGAACUCCUCUUAUCUGAUGUUAAUCACAGCUAUGAAGUUCAGAGUUGAUUUUGACAAAAUGGAGCAAGAGGAUAACUUGUACAAUGAUUACUUUCUGGAGAUGGAAGGUCCUCCUCAGUUCACUGAUUGGAAAGCAAUUGAAAGGUUAACCCGGUUCUUAGUCAUCUUCUACAACUCAACUCUAGUUGUUUCUGCCUCAACCUCUCUCAAUGCUUACAAGUGCUACGGGAAAAUUGUAACCAUAGCGGCUAAUCUUAUGGAUUUGAUGAAGAGCAGAGAUCAUCAGCUACAAGUAAAGGCAGAGGAGAUGUAUCAGAAAUUCGACAAAUACUGGGAUGGGUUGAAAAACAUCAAUAAGAUGUUGAUUGUGGCAACUGUUUUUGAUCCCACGAAGAAGAUGGAUCUCGCAAGCAUGUGUUUUGAAGAGUUUUAUGGGCAGGACAGCUUGGAGGGUAAAGAAAUGCAUGAUUCUGUGAUCAGUGUGUUGCACAACAUGUUCAAGGAGUACAGUGACAGAUAUGGGAAGAGUCAAGAAGAGCAAUCUGAUCACUCUAAGAAAUCCAAAGCUCAAGCCUCUCGGUGUGCUGAAGCAGAGUCAUCGCUUAGUAUGGAUUUGGUUGAAGAUGGUUUCGGUUAUAAGAGGACUGACCGAAGGUAUAAGCAGAAGUUGAAUGAAGGAGUGAAAGACAAGCGAGAUGAGCUCGAAAUUUAUUUGAAAGAAGAUGUUGAGAAUCCAGACUUGAUGGUUGGUGUAGAGUAUGAUGUUCUAUCAUAUUGGAAGAGAAACUGUACCAAGUUCCCGAUUCUUUCCCUCAUGGCAAAAGAUGUCUUGGCCAUGCAAGUCUCUCUGUAGCAUCCGAGAGUGCUUUCAGUACUAGUGGAAGGAUCCUUGAGCCAUCUCGGAGCUGCCUUACUCACUUCAUAAUCGAGGUGUUGAUGUGUACUGAGCAAUGGCUAAAACAAGACAUUCGAUGUAAUUCAAGAGUGCUUACUAAUGCACAAAUCCUUGAGGAUAUUGAAGAGCAAGAAAAGAUUGAGAGAGAAUUAACUGGUUCAAUUGGUCAGCCAUAAGUUUAUUGGAGUAGAAGAUGGUCAAAUGCUCACUUGUUUUUGGUUGUGCUCUCACAAGACGCUUAAAUCUAUGUUCUGUUCUUAAACUUUGGUGUUUUUAUGUUGUUAUGAAACUUCAAGUCUUAUUCUUUUGGUGUGUUUGAACUUUGAAUGAUGAAUGUUGUUUUUUUUCA